UGUUUUAUAAUUUAAUUUAAAAUAUUAAUUUGCAAAAUUAAUUAUAUCAAUAAAUGGUUAAAAUAU
rnacentral:tRNA from 1 species